rnacentral:rRNA from 1 species
ACCAAGGCGACGAUCAGUAGCUGGUCUGAGAGGACGACCAGCCACACUGGAACUGAGACACGGUCCAGACUCCUACGGGAGGCAGCAGUGGGGAAUUUUGGACAAUGGGCGCAAGCGUGAUCCAGCAAUGCCGCGUGAGUGAAGAAGGCCUUCGGGUUGUAAAGCUCUUUUGUCAGGGAAGAAACGGCUCCGGCUAAUAUCUGGAGCUAAUGACGGUACCUGAAGAAUAAGCACCGGCUAACUACGUGCCAGCAGCCGCGGUAAUACGUAGGGUGCAAGCGUUAAUCGGAAUUACUGGGCGUAAAGCGUGCGCAGGCGGUUUUGUAAGUCUGUCGUGAAAGCCCCGGGCUCAACCUGGGAAUUGCGAUGGAGACUGCAAGGCUUGAAUCUGGCAGAGGGGGGUAGAAUUCCACGUGUAGCAGUGAAAUGCGUAGAGAUGUGGAGGAACACCGAUGGCGAAGGCAGCCCCCUGGGUCAAGAUUGACGCUCAUGCACGAAAGCGUGGGGAGCAAACAGGAUUAGAUACCCUGGUAGUCCACGCCCUAAACGAUGUCUACUAGUUGUCGGGUUUUAAUUAACUUGGUAACGCAGCUAACGCGUGAAGUAGACCGCCUGGGGAGUACGGUCGCAAGAUUAAAACUCAAAGGAAUUGACGGGGACCCGCACAAGCGGUGGAUGAUGUGGAUUAAUUCGAUGCAACGCGAAAAACCUUACCUACCCUUGACAUGGAAGGAA